rnacentral:lncRNA from 1 species
GAGUCGAGGUGUUACAUGCAAUGAAGAUUUAUAAAUUUUCCUUUCUAGAUACAGGAAAGGUCUAUAACACAAGAUAGGUCUUGGUUGUAACAUCUGUGCGGUUCACAAGCUGAAGUUUGUAUAUCUUGGUCUGUAGGGAUUUUACACUGCAUAUCUGGAAAAACAAGUCACCGUUUAAACACUAAGUCUACAGCAUGAAUGGUCUGGAGAGCAACGUUUUCUGUCGAUAGCAGUUUCUGUCUGGUGUGAUGCCCCAUUCUUGUGCUGAUGCUACUUGUAGCACUGAGCAGUACUGGAAAGGAGAAAAGGUCUCUUGGAAUAAGGUGCCUGCCUGCCUUUCAGUUUUGCAGUGGAAUCACUGAUCAUUCUUACCACCUCACAACCUACAGGUAAGUCUGAGAUCGUUAUUUAAAGUUUCCAUUGCCAUGUAACCACUGACAAAUUCAGCG